rnacentral:rRNA from 1 species
UAUGUGAUCGUCUCUCGCAUAUCAAUAAGCGGAGGAAAAGAAACUAACAAGGAUUCCCCUAGUAACGGCGAGUGAAGCGGGAAGAGCUCAAAUUUGAAAUCUUAAAGGGUUUCCCUUUACGAAUUGUAGUUUAAAGAAGUGUUUUCUGUUGAGGUUUUGGUAAAAGUUCUUUGGAAUAGGACAUCAUAGAGGGUGAGAAUCCCGUAUUUGACCUUUACUUUCAACUUUGUGAUACACUUUCAAAGAGUCGGAUUGUUUGGGAAUGCAGUCCAAAAUGGGUGGUAAAUUUCAUCUAAAGCUAAAUAUUGGCGAGAGACCGAUAGCGAACAAGUACCGUGAGGGAAAGAUGAAAAGAACUUUGAAAAGAGAGUUAAACAGUACGUGAAAUUGUCAAAAGGGAAGCGUUUGACACCAGUGUUGUUUUUCUGAAAAUCAAUUAAAGAACUGUUUAUGCUAAGCUGUUUAGACUUUAUCAGCUAACUGUUUAGUUUUGAGCUUUUCUUUAAUGCACUUUUCAGUUAACAAGUCAACAUCAAUUUCUUUUGCUGUAAAAAAGCUUGAGGAAGGUGGCUUGAGAUUCGUCUUAAGUGUUUAUAGCCUCUUGCCUAUGCAGUCGGAGAGAUUGAGGUCUGCAGCGUAGAUCCUUCGGGGCUAAAUGCAUUUGUGCUAAGUUAUAGCAUUUUAUAGACAACUUGUUGACUAUGAUUUGUCUUGUAGCUUACUCGCUUAUGUUAUUUUACCUACGCUUAGGAUGUUGACGCGCGUGUGUGCGUG